rnacentral:rRNA from 1 species
AUGUACAUUCCUACAUCAUAGCGUUAAUAUAUCGGAUCCCAUUAGAACUUCACAGUUUAGCGGGCUCAGGCUAGAGUAGUAUUGGGAUAGUUUAUCGCCCGGGAAGUCCUAGUAUUUUACAUG